rnacentral:rRNA from 1 species
AUUUGACCUCAAAUCAGGUAGGAGUACCCGCUGAACUUAAGCAUAUCAAUAAGCGGAGGAAAAGAAAAUAACAAUGAUUCCCCUAGUAACUGCGAGUGAAGAGGGACAAGCUCAAAUUUUAAAUCUGUUAGGUUUACCUAACCGAGUUGUAAUUUGAAGAGGCGUUUUCUGUGUUUUUGAUCAGCCCAAGUCCUUUGGGAUAGGGCAUCAUGGAGGGUGAGAAUCCCGUUCGGUUGAUCAGAUUCGCUUUACGAUACGUCAUCUAAGAGUCAAGUUGUUUGGGAUUGCAGCUUAAAAUGGGAGGUAAAUUUCUCCUAAGGCUAAAUAACGGCGAGAGACCGAUAGCGAACAAGUACCGUGAGGGAAAGAUGAAAAGAACUUUGAAAAGAGAGUUAAACAGUACGUGAAAUUGUUGAAAGGGAAACGAUUGAAGCCAGUCGUACCUUCGGGUAAUCAGCCUUUCGGGUGCGAUUCUGUGGAGCGUGGGGAGUUAAACGCCUUCAUGCCUGCAUAUUCGUGCACUUUGGGUGUACUUGCCCGUGUGGUAGGUUAACAUCAAUUUCGGAUGUCAUAAAAUGGCUGGAGGAAUGUAGCUUCGGUCUCGUACUGAAGUGUUAUAGCCUUUGGUAGAUGUGAUGACCGGGAUUGAGGAUUGCAACGAAUACCUUUUGGGCUAUCCGUCUGAUCUCUGAAAGUUGCUCUGGUGCCGAAAGCUUGCUUACGGUUAUCAAAGUUGACGUUCAAAAGGUUAGAACGGGUUAAAUUCGUUAAGGAUGUUGACGUAAUGGCUUUAAACGACCCGUCUUGAAACACGGACCA